rnacentral:rRNA from 1 species
UACGUAGGGGGCAAGCGUUGUCCGGAAUUAUUGGGCGUAAAGCGCGCGCAGGCGGUUCAUUAAGUUUGGUGUUUAAUCCCGGGGCUCAACCCCGGUUCGCACUGAAAACUGGUGGACUUGAGUGCAGGAGAGGAAAGCGGAAUUCCACGUGUAGCGGUGAAAUGCGUAGAGAUGUGGAGGAACACCAGUGGCGAAGGCGGCUUUCUGGACUGUAACUGACGCUGAGGCGCGAAAGCGUGGGGAGC